rnacentral:rRNA from 1 species
AGAGUUUGAUCCUGGCUCAGAUUGAACGCUGGCGGCAUGCCUUACACAUGCAAGUCGAACGGCAGCACGGGUGCAACCCUGGUGGCGAGUGGCGAACGGGUGAGUAAUAUAUCGGAACAUGCCCUGAAGUGGGGGAUAACGUAGCGAAAGUUACGCUAAUACCGCAUAUUCUGUGAGCAGGAAAGCAGGGGAUCGCAAGACCUUGCGCUUUAGGAGUGGCCGAUAUCGGAUUAGCUAGUUGGUGAGGUAAAGGCUCACCAAGGCGACGAUCCGUAGCGGGUCUGAGAGGAUGAUCCGCCACACUGGGACUGAGACACGGCCCAGACUCCUACGGGAGGCAGCAGUGGGGAAUUUUGGACAAUGGGCGCAAGCCUGAUCCAGCCAUGCCGCGUGAGUGAAGAAGGCCUUCGGGUUGUAAAGCUCUUUCGGUUGGGAAGAAAUUGCUUGGGUUAAUACCCUAAGUAGAUGACGGUACCAGCAUAAGAAGCACCGGCUAACUACGUGCCAGCAGCCGCGGUAA